GACACGGAGCAUGACGCCCUGUACUUCGGCUUGCCAGUGGCAGUGGGCGCCUCGGUGAACACCAUCAUGCCGGUCUCGCUGCCGCUGGUCAUGCUCCACGACAUUGCGCCGGUCACGCGUAAGCAGCUGAUCCUGACAGGAGCCUUCGUGAAGACCGUGGUGGUGGCCAUCAUUCUUCUCUCGAUGAACACCACGGGAGAAUACGUUUUACACAGCAACAAGCAAUUCAACAACACCGCCGAGAGUCUGCAGACAUUCCUGCUGCGCUAAACCCACUCUAGAGAGACCGCGGGGACUGCGACAUUCUUUUCUUGAUUUCUUUCUCAUUUGUUUUUUCACAGUAAAGCGCAGGCUGACAUAUAGUGAAUAAAACGCCUUAUUCGACGGCUAAAGCAUGUUGACAGGUAAAACAAUA